CUGACAGUUGUGCAGAAAGCCAUCAUUGACACCCUCCACAAGGAGGGAAAGCCUUAAAAGACAAGUUUUGCACUGCAAGCAGCGCCUGCAACAACAGAUGAGAUUCCCAGGCAAGACCCCGGCUUUGGCAGCAACUCACCCAGGUGUAGGCUUCAGUGGAUAUCAAAGCUUGCUUCCUUUGGGAACUCCCUUCAUAAGGGCCUGUUGCAGGUCAACACACAGUAUAAUGACGGCCAUGAGCUCCUGUCUUUCACCACCAUGGGCGCCAACAUGUGCCACCUGAGCUCGCAGAACAAAACGCUGACCUACAAUCCUUAAAGAUGAGACAACUUACUCCAUAUUGUUGGUCCAGACUUCAAUGCCAAGCACCUACCCUGGUUGUGAUGAAGACGUGGACCCCAGCAUCUCCAGAUCCAGAGGACCAUAUUGUCUAAGAGGUCCUCCUGGCACCGUGGAGAAAUACUUGUACGAUUAGGCAACAACUACCCCAAAACCAACAUACCCCUCACCUUCAUCUGCAAUUAACAUAACAGCUGUGACAUCAUCACAUGGUAUUUUAACUGUGAACAUACCGGUGUUAAUGGGUUCCAGUUCAGCUGUGUUCAGAACUGUAACGGAUAGCUGAUUCUGCACUCAGUCCCCAGCCCCUGAAGCUUUGUAUCAAAUGAAGAGACUGUUCAUAAUGGCUGCAGUAGUGAUGCAAAAAAAGGGCAAAGCUUCUUCUACAUAUUCUGUUGUAUAAUUUAACUAUAUUCUGAAAAACAAUGUGAAGACCAUGAACACUACCUGACUUGAUAUGCAAUAUUUUAAUUGUCUUUAGAAUUAAUUCAUUUUGUUGUCUAAAUUGACCCCUUUUAUAAAAAGGUGUACAUGCAAUUCCCCCCCCCCCCCACACACACACCUUUCAGACUACAACUGCAAGAGCUGCAAUCUCUGGAACACACUUUUGUUUGGGUUUGAGUGACAUUAAUAAGUGAUUGUUGUGCAGAUGGACCUCUGCCUCUGAAUGAAAUCUAUGAUGAUAUGUUAGCAUCAACUGUUGUUCUAUAUUUGUUUGCAGACCUAUGAAACCCCAGUUUGUGAUGUUCUUAACCAGACCAGUAGAUGGCACUGACAUACAGUUCUUUAAAGACAUGAAGGAGGGCACAUCCCUGUUGUGUGGAUGAAUUACACUUAAUGCACUGCAUACAGGACAUAAUGCUGGUUCUCAAAUUGAAUUGUUGAUUUGUAGAUGUGGCCUAUAGUAUCAUGCAAAAACAAUCUAAACAAAUCAUAAACUUUAAUCUUUAAA